rnacentral:lncRNA from 1 species
UCUUCAAAAGAAGGAGCCUAACUCCUCUUCUCUUGAGCAUGGGCCAGGCUUAAUGACUCACUUCUAAGUAAAGGAAUGUGGCUAGGUGACACUGUGUGACUUCCAAGGCAGGGUCACCCAGUGCCUUGUGGCUUCCUCCUUGGAGUCUUUUGGAUCACUCAUUCUGGGAGAAGCCAGCUGCCAGGGAAUGCGGAGCCUUCGACAGCCCUGUGGGAAUGUCCCUGUGGAGGAACUGAGGCCUCCAGCCAACAGCCAUCCAGCUGCCAUGUUGUAAGGACACUCAAGCUGCUCUAUGGAGAGGUCCACAUGGUGAGGAACUGAGGCCUCUGGCCAACAGCCACGUGAGUGUGCCAUCUUGGGAAAGGAUCUGCCAGCCCCAGUCAAGCCUUCAGAUACCUGCCACCCUGCCCAGCAUCUUGACUGCAACCUCAUGAAAGACCUUGAGCCAGAACCUUCCAGGGGCAUCAUCUACUCUGCCCAAACCAGGCGCUACCAAGGGCAGUGAAAUUGCUUUGAUUGACUUGGCCUAAGGACAUGUACCUGUGGUGGCCAUGGAGCUGCACCGCUCAGAUCUCCCUUCAAGAGAACCUGCUGUGGGGAGGGAAUCAUAAAUCCGGUUCUGAUUAUCGCCACACACACAGAUCCUUCUCAAAGAUUCAGAGUCUUAUUCUUUUAUCUCUUCCCUAAAAUACGAUCUAAUUUACAAAACUUUGACUUACAACUCCGCCAGAAGCCCAGCUGGCGUGUGAAGUGAUGCACUCUGCAGCCGGCAGCACUGAAAAGCACCGGCCUCCCGGGAACCCAGCAAGGACCGUGAUCUUCAGUUAUUUUGUGCAAUAAAGAAAUUUUGUAAAACGAGUAACAC